AAAGUUGUUACAUCUAGCAUGGCAUCCAAGUGACAACUUACUCGCCUGCGCCGCAUCAAACACCUUUACAUGUAUUAUGCAUAAAAUGGUCUGGGAAGAUCAUGGACUUUUGCUUCACAAAACUAUGGUUGCUACCUCUGGCAAUGGCUUCCCUGCCUUAUUUCCUAACACAGAUGCAGAAGACACACCCAUCACCAGGGGAUGAUAUUGCUGUUGUUGAAUUAUCAAGGAAGUAUAUAACU
rnacentral:misc_RNA from 1 species